GAUGCAGCCAUGCCGCGUGUGUGAAGAAGGCCUUCGGGUUGUAAAGCACUUUCAGCGAGGAGGAAAGGUUAGGUCUUAAUACGGCCUAGCUGUGACGUUACUCGCAGAAGAAGCACCGGCUAACUUCGUGCCAGCAGCCGCGGUAAUACGAGGGGGUGCAAGCGUUAAUCGGAAUUACUGGGCGUAAAGCGUACGCAGGCGGUUUGUUAAGCGAGAUGUGAAAGCCCCGGGCUCAACCUGGGAACUGCAUUUCGAACUGGCAAACUAGAGUCUUGUAGAGGGGGGUAGAAUUUCAGGUGUAGCGGUGAAAUGCGUAGAGAUCUGAAGGAAUACCGGUGGCGAAGGCGGCCCCCUGGACAAAGACUGACGCUCAGGUACGAAAGCGUGGGGAGCAAACAGGAUUAGAUACCCUGGUAGUCCACGCCGUAAACGAUGUCUACUCGGAAUUUGGUGUCUUGAACACUGGGUUCUCAAGCUAACGCAUUAAGUAGACCGCCUGGGGAGUACGGCCGCAAGGUUAAAACUCAAAUGAAUUGACGGGGGCCCGCACAAGCGGUGGAGCAUGUGGUUUAAUUCGAUGCAACGCGAAGAACCUUACCUACUCUUGACAUCCUCAG
rnacentral:rRNA from 1 species